GGGGGGGGACAGCACCCUAUACAUCAUGGUUUAUAUUCAAAUUCCAAAGAACCGAUAUGGGACAAUUCAUUACAUGUGAGGAGGGGGGAGGGGGAGAAAUAAUAGAGAGGAGGGAGGGGGGAAGAAAACGUCUUGGAGAAAACCAAUGGAAGAACACGACGGCGACGGCGGCGUCAUAAAUACAUAUUUUCUUCACAGGGACCCGGACGAGCAGGAAAGACCCAAAAUACACAGAGAGGAGAGAGAAAGAAUGGCAAAUCGAGGGACACGGGGAUACUUGUACAGGCCUUGGGGCGAUCAUGCCGCUCCCUCGGUCGGCUUCGCCGGCUCUGGGGCCGCCGGCGGAGCGGCGGCGGUCUUCUCCUCGACGACCGGAGGAGCCUCAGGAGGCGCAGGGGUCUCGGUUUCUACCUUCUUCUCCUCUUCCGUAGACACCACCACCUCCUUAUCCUUGCUGGUGCCCUCCUCCGCCGGCGCUGCGGGCGCUUCUUCUGUGGUGGCGGCGACCUCUGGCUCCGCCGCCUUGGGCUCCUCCGCCGGGAGGAAGACGGCAGCCUUCUCGAACACGAAGAAGACGGGGCCGGUGACGAGGGCAGGCCCGAACUUGGUGGAAGCCUCACUGACAGCCUUGGCCCCGGGGAACUC
rnacentral:lncRNA from 1 species